GUCGGUAGGACGCCGAAAAUCCUAUGCGGUGAUCAAAAUCGUGAGAGGACGAGCCUAUUACUGAAAGGAAGGAAGGAGGUCAGUAUAGCUUUUGGUGUCAUAACUACGAGCUAAUUUAUGCAAAAUGGGUACGCUAACGGACACCGGCGUCGACGUCGAGUGUGAACAUCUUUACGGACAGAAAAAUUACCAUAAGGGCAAUAACAACCAGGAGGGUAAGGUCACACUCUUGCAGUGUAAGAAGGAUAUUAACGCCGGGCCAUAACGGAAUAAGGAGGAAUGAAAGGGCAACAGAUUUGGCAGUGAAGACCAGAGAACCGCUGUCUAUAGUCUUGGUUAACCCGAAGCUUUUCGGGUCGACGCAGACCGAUUUAAUGGCGUGGGCGACAAACACUGUGGAGCAGCAAAGAGUCGGUAGAACGGCGAAAAUCCUAUGCGGUGAUCAAGAUCGUGAGAGGACGAGCCUAUUACUGAAAGGAAGGAAGGAGGUCAGUAAAGCUUUUGGUGUCAUAAGUACGAGCUAAUUUAUGCAAAAUCGGUACGCUAACGGACACCGGUGUCGACGUCGAGUGUGAACAUCUUUACGGACAGAAAAAUUACCAUAAGGGCAAUAACAACCAGGAGGGGAGUGGUAUGGAAAACAAUUAAAGAUUUUCCUGCACUGGAUACUUACCUACAAGUUCGUUGUGCUGGAUGUCACUAAAAUAACACAAAUCCCUAUCACCAGACCUACCUUCCUCAAUCCUAUGGCAGCCAGUUGUACGUACCGGAUUGACACGGUGGAGUCCUUCAUCGGCAAGGCUGCCGCCUCACUGCUACAAAAACCUGACCUUCCUAGAUCAGAUCAAUCCAAUGGCAGCCGGUUGUACCUACCGGAUUGGUCAGAUGUAGUCUAUCAUCGGCAAGGGCUGGCGCCUCAGUGUACAACACACUGCUACAACAACAAUCAGACCUUCCUGGAUCUGGAUACUCAACAGAAUCAAGCAAACGAAUGAUAGAACUCAACGCACUGCUGCAACAACCAGACCUCAAAAAAUGUAUUGUACAAACACACCCUAUAAUUACUUCGAGUAAAUGAGCGCGCCAACUCAAGUUUUAAUAAAAGUUAAAUACUAAAGUA